UACAGAGGUCUCAAGCGUUGUUCGGAUUCAUUGGGCGUAAAGGGCGCGUAGGCUGCGGGGCAAGUCGGGUGUGAAAUCUCAGAGCUCAACUCUGAAACUGCACUCGAUACUGCUUUGCUUGAGGACUGGAGAGGAGAUUGGAAUUCACGGUGUAGCAGUGAAAUGCGUAGAUAUUGGGAGGAACACCGGUGGCGAAGGCGGCCCCCUGGACCGGUACUGACGCUGAGGCGCGAAAGCGUGGGUAGCAAACGGG
rnacentral:rRNA from 1 species